AGUUAUAGCGAUCAUAAAUUGUUGAUGGCUGUUGGCUGUUUUAGCGAUUAAAAAUAGAAAAUAAAAGCCAAAAAGCCUGAGAAAAAUAUAAAGGCAAAAAUGUAGAAUGGCAAGUUCAGUAACAGACAUAAAAGCCACUAAUAAGAGGGUAACGGUAAAUUUACCAAUAUUCUGCCUAAGAUGUAGCAUUGGCACCUACUAUACUCUACCUUGUACUCCGUAAUAAUCUUGAGUGCCAAGAGACAGUUAAUACUUAAUAGCUUAUGCUUACAAGCUAAUCUACUAUAACAGGGCAACAUCAAACAAAACAAGCUAUCCCCUCAUUAUAGUUUGCUUGCAUCUCACCAAUCACCACAAGGGCUGAGUUUAGCAGUUCACUUUUUGGUUUUGCAAUAUAGACAGCUUAAUAUUUAUGCUUAUGAGAGCAAAUCUACUUAAAUAGGGAUAAAACAAACUAAGCAAGCUUUGCCCCUUGGUAUGCAGAUGGCCGCAUCUUGCAUUCACGCCACAAGUGUUGAAUUAACAAAAAGAGUGGAGAUCUUUCCUUGUUGCUAAAUAUCAAGAAUUUAGUUGUCAGUAGUGGUGAAGAAAAAAAGACCAUCCCCCCCAAAAUCAACUUAGAGCCUAAAGAGGAGAGUUUGGUCCACAAUAAGCUGGCAAUCUGCCAAAGUAAACUUUAUAUAGUAGAAUAGAAGUUAUGCCUAUUUACUAAAGAUCAUUUUU